CUGGACUACUGAAAUGCUUCUCUGGCUGUUCUAUAUCCAAGCACAAAUGUCUUGAUCUUGAUUCGAGCCACAACUGGUAGCCAGUGCAAGGAGAUAAAGAGAGGUGUAACAUGGG